rnacentral:lncRNA from 1 species
GAAAAUUAAUGUAUUAAUAAUAUGGAUGAAAGUACAAGGACUUUUAUAGGGACUAAACACAAUUUGAGAUAUCUAUAGAAUCAAAAACUUAUUUAACCCUAAAAUAUAAGGAAAGAUUAAACAUAAACAACACAAAAUGACAACAUUAUUUUCUUUUUCACUAGAAAUCAAACAAAUGAAGACAGAUAAACAACUAAAAUAAGAGCUAGGUAACUCCAGCUUUAACUACUCCUUAGCUUUCUUA